UAAAAAAACUAAAGAAAACCAUGCCGUUCGAAAUAGGGAGGACUCACCACCUCAACAGCUGUCCGACAGGAGUACCAAAUCACCUAAUUCUGCAUAGAGUCACAAGAAAAGGCCUCAAAACCUACAUCAUGAAAUGAUGUAGCAUCCAGUGGCGAUCAGUACGGCGAAUACUGACAUGCAACCCAAGGAAAGGGAUAAAAUAUAGAAGUACCAAACCAGUAAUAAGACACAUGAAUAUAUAUAUAUAUAUAUAUAUUUGCCAAAAACCAGUCAUCAAGACAUAUGCUAAUCAGUCAUCAAGAUAAUAGGAUGUUAGGGUAGGGGGCAAAGAAAACCAGUCAUCAAGACAUAUGCUAAUCAGUCAUCAAGAUAAUAGGAUGUUAGGGUAGGGGGCAAAGAACAUGAGACACGACCAUUUAAAAAUUUACUCCUGAACUAUGUAGCUCGUACCGACCUAAAGUCACCCACGGGCUAUGUGUCCGGCUUUCCCUCCUGGAAGUGUCCCAGUCCAUGUUAGUUGCAUGGAUCGGAGAAAUUAGGCCAAAGCCACCAAUAGUCAAUUAGACUCCCAAAAAUAUAUUGUGUAAAGCUUACACAGUGGUCAUAGACCCCCAACGUCGGCAAAUGUGGUCCUAGAACUGUAAGAAUGGAUCUUGGGCCCAACUCAACCUACAAAGCUACCUCGUAAGGGGAGGAUUGUCCAAAUUCAUAUAAGCCAACAACCAGUUCAUUCCCCAGCCAAUGUGGGACUUUUACCCAGUCUAACAGCCCUUCACGCCGAGGGACAUUUGGCUUAGCGCGUGGACUGGGAGCCCAAAUAGGGAUGCACCUGACUCUGAUACCAUGUUAGAAUGGAUCUUGAGUCUAACUUAACCUCAAAAUCUAUCUCAAGAUGUGAGGAUUAUCUAAGUCCAUAUAAGCAAACUACCAGUCCAUUCCCUAAGCAAUGUGGGAAUAAUCAUAACACUGUGAUCAUAAUAUAUCUGAAUGCUACAUGGUGCUCAUAAUCCCGAAGGAUUACAAGCUAACCCAUGACUGGUACCUGCUGUGAGCACUGAAUAAUCAUAACACUGUGAUCAUAAUAUAUCUGAAAUAAAUGUAGAAGGUAGGCUGAAAAUUGCCAUAAGGUUCAUACUAAAAAAAAAUACUAUAUAAUGGAAUCUGAAUACUGAAAACAACUGUCUGAAAUACUCUAGUAUGAAAGCCUCUAACUGUCUGAAUAAGGAGUUGAUGGGACAAGCCCAAACUAACUCCGGCUACUGAAUGUAAACUGAAACACUGAUAUAACAUCUUUGUCCUCGAACUAUGAGGACUUACCACUAAUAUGAUGCUGAUAAUCUGGGCUGCUAAGAGCAGUCAGGAGCCUGUGCGUCUAAACCUAUGAUAUAAAACAUCAUAGUGCAAAAUAAAGGUAUGCGUCAGUACUUUGAAUGUACUGGUAUGCUAAGUGAGGUAGG
rnacentral:lncRNA from 1 species